UUCAGAAGAUGUCAGCUGUACAACUUUGAAAUCGGAAAAAUCAAGAUGUGCAUGAUACCAACAAGAAUGUGAACUUUUCAAAGAGCAUGAUAUUUCCAAUUUUCCACAUCUCUAGACCAGUGACCACAAAUGUACAUACAAGUACCCACAGAUGACAGCCAUAUUGACUCCAGUAGAUAAUAUUCAUCUCCAUCAGCUGGUUACUAGCUGUACAUAGUGGUCAAACCAGGAUAUCCACUAAUUGCAUUCAGUGAUGUGAAUUGUCAUCUGCAUUUGUGCUUAUGAACUUUAGUAAACUGUCAAGUUUUAAUAUCAAGAAAAUGACUGCUGAAAAAGCAUCUAAUCUUGUGUUCUAUGAAUGUUUUCAAUUAAACACAAAACAAAAUGAGAAAUAGUUUUAUUGAAACUUAAUUGAAAUUCACUUUGAAUUACUUUGCAUUGACUGAGUACUUCAAAUUUUAAUCUUUCUACAUUUUCAUGGUCAAGUGAUAAAAAGUAU